UGCCAGCCGCCGCGGUAAUACGGAAGGUGCAAGCGUUAGUCGGAUUUAUUGGGCGUAAAGAGCGCGUAGGCGGACAUGCAAGUCAGAUGUGAAAUUCCGGAGCUCAACUCCGGAGCUGCAUUUGAAACUACAUGUCUCGAGGAUAAGCGGAGAAAGUGGAAUUCCAUGUGUAGCGGUGAAAUGCGUAGAUAUAUGGAAGAACACCAGUGGCGAAGGCGACUUUCUAGCUUAUUCCUGACGCUAAGGCGCGAAAGCAAGGGGAGCGAACAGGAUUAGAUA
rnacentral:rRNA from 1 species